rnacentral:misc_RNA from 1 species
GAUGAAGAACGUAGCGAAAUGCGAUACGUUAUGUGAAUUGCAGAAUUCAGUGAAUCAUCGAAUCUUUGAACGCAUAUUGCGCUCUCUGGUAUUCCGGAGAGCAUGCUUGUUUGAGUAUCAGUAAACACCUCAACUUCCAUAUCUUUUUUGAAAUGGGAGUUGGACUUGAGUGAUCCCAACGCUUUUCCUCACCGAAAAGUGGCGGGUUACUUGAAAUGCAGGUGCAGCUGGACUUUUCUCUGAGCUAUAAGCAUAUCUAUUUAGUCUGCCUAAAAAACAGAUUAUUACCUUUGCUGCAGCUAACAUAAAGGAGAUUAGUUCUUGUGCUGACUGAUGCAGGAUUCACAAAGACAGGCUUCGGCCGACUUUGUAAACUCGAUCUCAAAUCAAGUAAGACUACCCGCUGAACUUAAGCAUAUCAAUAAGCGGAGGA